AGUGAACGCUGGCGGUAGGCCUAACACAUGCAAGUCGAACGGCAGCACAGUAAGAGCUUGCUCUUACGGGUGGCGAGUGGCGGACGGGUGAGGAAUACAUCGGAAUCUACUUUUUCGUGGGGGAUAACGUAGGGAAACUUACGCUAAUACCGCAUACGACCUACGGGUGAAAGCAGGGGAUCUUCGGACCUUGCGCGAUUGAAUGAGCCGAUGUCGGAUUAGCUAGUUGGCGGGGUAAAGGCCCACCAAGGCGACGAUCCGUAGCUGGUCUGAGAGGAUGAGGAGACAGACUGGAAAUGAGACAGGGGACAGACUCCUACGGGAGGCAGCAGUGGGGAGUAUUGGACAAUGGGCGCAAGCCUGAUCCAGCCAUACCGCGUGGGUGAAGAAGGCCUGCGGGUUGUAAAGCCGUUUUGGUGGGAAAGAAAAGAAGCAGGUUAAUACCCCGCUGUCCUGAAGGUACCCAAAGAAUAAGCACCGGCUAACUUCGUG
rnacentral:rRNA from 1 species